GGAUCCAGACUUUGAUUCUGGCUCAGGAUGAACGCUAGCUACAGGCUUAACACAUGCAAGUCGAGGGGAAACGAUAGAGAAAGCUUGCUUUUUCUAGGCGUCGACCGGCGCACGGGUGAGUAACGCGUAUCCAACCUGCCCAUCACUUGGGGAUAACCUUGCGAAAGUAAGACUAAUACCCAAUGAUAUCUCUAGAAGACAUCUGAAAGAGAUUAAAGAUUUAUCGGUGAUGGAUGGGGAUGCGUCUGAUUAGCUUGUUGGCGGGGUAACGGCCCACCAAGGCGACGAUCAGUAGGGGUUCUGAGAGGAAGGUCCCCCACAUUGGAACUGAGACACGGUCCAAACUCCUACGGGAGGCAGCAGUGAGGAAUAUUGGUCAAUGGACGAGAGUCUGAACCAGCCAAGUAGCGUGCAGGAUGACGGCCCUAUGGGUUGUAAACUGCUUUUAUAAGGGAAUAAAGUGAGAGUCGUGACUCUUUUUGCAUGUACCUUAUGAAUAAGGACCGGCUAAUUCCGUGCCAGCAGCCGCGGUAAUACGGAAGGUCCGGGCGUUAUCCGGGUUUAUUGGGUUUAAAGGGAGCGUAGGCCGGAGAUUAAGCGUGUUGUGAAAUGUAGACGCUCAACGUCUGCACUGCAGCGCGAACUGGUUUCCUUGAGUACGCACAAAGUGGGCGGAAUUCGUGGUGUAGCGGUGAAAUGCUUAGAUAUCACGAAGAACUCCGAUUGCGAAGGCAGCUCACUGGAGCGCAACUGACGCUGAAGCUCGAAAGUGCGGGUAUCGAACAGGAUUAGAUACCCUGGUAGUCCGCACGGUAAACGAUGGAUGCCCGCUGUUGGUCUGAAUAGGUCAGCGGCCAAGCGAAAGCAUUAAGCAUCCCACCUGGGGAGUACGCCGGCAACGGUGCAACUCAAAGGAAUUGACGG
rnacentral:rRNA from 1 species